GGCUUGGUAGCUCAGCGCUAGAGCUCAGUGCUAGCUAGAUCGCAGUGCACGGCGGUCAUGAGUUCGACCCUCAUACAAGUCA
rnacentral:tRNA from 1 species